rnacentral:rRNA from 1 species
AACCAACAGGGAUUGCCCUAGUAACGGCGAGUGAAGCGGCAACAGCUCAAAUUUGAAAUCUGGCCUCGGCCCGAGUUGUAAUUUGCAGAGGAUGUUUCUGGCGCGGUGCCUUCCGAGUUCCCUGGAACGGGACGCCACAGAGGGUGAGAGCCCCGUAUGGUUGGACACCAAGCCUGUGUGAAACUCCUUCGACGAGUCGAGUAGUUUGGGAAUGCUGCUCUAAAUGGGAGGUAAAUCUCUUCUAAAGCUAAAUACCGGCCAGAGACCGAUAGCGCACAAGUAGAGUGAUCGAAAGAUGAAAAGCACCUUGAAAAGGGGGUUAAACAGUACGUGAAAUUGUUGAAAGGGAAGCGCUCAUGACCAGACUUGUGCCGGGCGGUUCAUCCGGGGUUCUCCCCGGUGCACUCCGCCCGGUUCAGGCCAGCAUCGGUUCUCGUUGGGGGAUAAGAACGGUAGGAACGUGGCCCUCCCUCGGGAGGGUGUUAUAGCCUGCCGUACGAUACCCUGGUGGGGACCGAGGUUCGCGCUCCGCAAGGAUGCUGGCGUAAUGGUCAUCAGCGACCCGUCUUGAAACACGGACCAAGGAGUCGUCCAUUAGAGCGAGCGUUUGGGUGUAAAACCCGCACGCGUAAUGAAAGUGAAAUUAGGUGAGAGCUUCGGCGCAUCAUCGACCGAUCCUGAUGUUCUCGGAUGGAUUUGAGUAAGAGUUUUAACGGACGGACCCGAAAGACAGUGAACUAUGCUUGUAUAGGGUGAAGCCAGAGGAAACUCUGGUGGAGGCUCGCAGCGGUUCUGACGUGCAAAUCGAUCGUCAAAUAUGAGCAUGGGGGCGAAAGACUAAUCG